GGCUUUAUAGUCAUAUAAAUGAUAUUAGACUGCAAUUCUAAAGGAGUAAAAGAAUUUACUAAGGCUU
rnacentral:tRNA from 1 species